CCUCUGGGGAUUGCGGGUUGGGCGUGCCCGCGCUGGUGCAGAGCGUGUGGGUGUGUGCUGCGUGGCGGUGAGGUGUGUCCACGCUGACGCGUGCUGAAGUCAGACCCACCUCCCUCGAAUUCCAGCGAAACCCCUCCCUGGCUCUGCGGCCUUCCCCAAGUUGCCUAACGUCGCGCAGCACCUGGAAACCGCGGGUAAUGCGAGUGACUUCCUCCGAGUGGCUGGCAGGCUGAUCUCGGCCUUGGCGCAGGCGAGGCGGGGUGGGGGUGCACUGCCCGCAUCCCUAGGCCUCAGCCGCCCCUGGAGGAGGGCCAGGCCGGUGGAGGCGGGGCAGACUGGAGCUGGGCCUGCUGCGUUGCGGGAGGGAGGGUCGAAGCAGGGCAGGCUCCGCUGGGCAUGGUGCUAAAAUAUUUCUCUACUCAGGCCAGUGUCAUAAAUACCGGUUUGAUUUAGGGUGAGCUCCUAGUCCUGCCUCCGGGAAAGGCCAGGUGGUGGUGGCACCGGGCGGGACAGCAGGUGACCAGAGGGACCGGGCUCUCCCCUUCGGAAGCCUGCCCCUGGGGCCUGGUGCUGAGGAGUUGAGAAGCCAGCCCCUGCGCAGCUGGCUGUGUUGCCUGCCCUUGCUGCCUCCAAUCCUGGGGGGGACUGCUGUCCAGAGGCGCCCAGGAGGAGAGGAGUUAGCCACACUGCACCCUGCCUGCCUCCCGCCCCACUUCCUGCAUCUCAUGGACUUGGGCUGGGGUGGGGGGAUCCCCAUCAUCUGCCCACCCAUCCCCUCUGCUCUGCAGCGGCCCUUUGGUUGGUUGGUUUGUGAUGGUGCUGGAGAGUCAACUCAGGGCCUUUUCUCUGAGCCAGAUCCUCAGAGCGGUUCACGUUUUUGUAUUUUUGAACACAGCCGCUUUACGUUGCCUACGUGAAACUCAAACUUGUGAUCCUUCUGCCCCGGCCUCCCUGAGUGCUGGGAUUGCAGGUGUGUGCUAUCACAUUGGGGUGUUGUCUGCCUGUUCUUCCAAAAUUCCUGUCUUGCCUGGCUCAACCCUUUUGUGGCUUCUUUCUUGGUAAGUCAGCUUACGGUUCUCCCUGUAUACAGGCAGAUUCAUACACUCACGCACACACACACAGAAAGGACAGGCCUGCACACACAUAUGCCCUGGUGCGCGCACACAGACACAUCCCUGGUUUCCAGGGAAGCCCAGCCCAACCCUUCCUCACUCUGUGAUCCCCUUCCCAGGGCAAGUCACCCCACUGUGACAGCAUAGUUCUCUCCAUAAAGAGUAAAACUGCAGACAGCGUAGGGAGGCCGGGUCCAGGGUGGUCUCGGUGGGUGCCCUGGGUCCUGCAGGACCCUCCCAAAACAGGCACAAGGGAGCACGUGUCACUGGAAGAAAGGACACAGCACCUCGCACACUGUGAUCUCACCAAAAUCCAAACGUACCAGGCCGUACCUGGAGCCACUGCUGGGGGAACUCACAGCGGACAGAAGGGUACAUGAGACCAGCGUGCAUCCCACCAAAAGCAGUGUACGGAACCCCUACAGGACAAACCACCUGUCUUCUUCCACAAACAUAACUUAGGGGAAAAAAUGAAAGGGAAAGGAGACACACACCAGCGAAAUGUAGCCUGUGGAUUUUAGACUGAUUUGAAGAAUGUGGCGGUUGAAAAAAAAAAUAACAAAGAAACCAGGCAUGGUGACCUGUGCCUGUAAUCCCAGUGUCCUGGGAGACUGAGGCAGGUGAAUCACAAGUUUGAGCCCCAUUUAGCAAGACUGUGUCAAAAUAAAAAGUAAACUAGGUGUGCUUAUCAUCCCAGCACCCGAAAGGGGGUGUUUGUGCCAUUUUCUCUGUGUCUAUUUGGGGUUCUAACAGAAGAAAUAGAGGGCUUGGCUUGACAUGUUCUGCCGCCACCGAGCUCCCAGCAGCCACUGAGAUGGGAUCACAAGUGUCAGGCCCUGGUAAGGCUGUGACACAUGGCCGGCUUUGCCAUUUACACGUUCCUGGCUGUGCGCCCAGCAGUCCUUACGCUGCCCUUACUGCAGACGCAUGCUCAGACCUUUCCCAGGGGGCAGACAGGGUGUCAGGGGAGCCAGGGACUGGAACAGCUGGGAUGCCACUGGGUGUGUCUGAGGCUCAGGGCUAACGCUAACCCUUGCGCUUGGAAUCUGCUGGAAGCAGUGGGAACGGGAGAGAGCACAGCACCGCCUCCCCAGGAAGUGGGGGUUAUGGUAGACUGGAGUCUCCGGCCCUUGCUCAGCUGUUCCCAGCCCCCACAGCACAUCUGCCCUUCCUGGGGGGCCAUGACUGCCCCCCAAUCGGAAACCAUGCCCCGAACACCUUCUGCAUGUUCCUUGGAGAGAGACUAAGAGCUGGGAGCUGACAGCUGGAGAUGAGAACCAGGCCAAAUCUGGCCCAUACAUGUUUUCUUUGGCCUGCAGAAUGUUUUUAAAUUUUUUAGCCAACAGUAAAAGGUCAGGUGAUUUCAUGUAAAAAUCCGUAUUUCCGCUCCUCCUGUAACUUCGGAUGACCUGAUCAUAUCAGGUCCACGUUCCCGCAUGUGACAAGAGGAACGGGUGGAGCCGAUGGGUAGUAUUGCUACAGGCCUCUGGGCAUCACUGUCCGUCACUCCCUGGCUCUGAGUCACCACCUCUGAUCUAUAGGACACUACACUGGGUUCUCGAGGCUCCACAGCCUCCACCAGACCCCCGAUACAUGGCAGCCAAAGCUCUUGGAGCCCCUUUUGGGCCUCUUUCUCGGGCCCUGGUUCAUGUCCUUCUGUCCACCCAGCAGGUUUCCCUCCAUCAUCCUUUGGUGAAUGUUUUCAAGUAGUUCAUAAAUGUGACCCUUGCUGAUGUCCCAGUCAGGACCCUAUGGGUUCCGGUCUGGAUCAGAGUUCUGGGGACUGCCCAACAGGAUGCAGCCGAGAGAACCAGGCACAAAACAAUGUUGGGGCGACUAUGGACUCGUGAGGACGGCGGCCAGCUUCGCAGACACGGGUUCAUCCUGGCAGAAAAGCCUUUCACCCUUGCCGGCAGGGUGUCACUGACCAAGUACAGCCACAACAAGAAGCAGCAACACCUGGAGCCGCCAAAGAAGCCCCAGCUAGGGACAUGGGCUCUGCACGACAUGGCAAAGGCCUUACUGUCCUCAUGACCCCAGCUCUCUAAGCCAAAAGGGCAGCCCAGUGUCAUCUAGAGAUGUGACUUGCUGUCCCCAUGCGUGCAGCACUGGUGGCCCGACCAUUCUGACACCCCUAAGGGCCACUGAUUUGAUGUGUGCUGGCCCAUGAUAGAGGGGACACAAAAUGGGAAAUGGAGCCUGAGACUCAAGAUGCCCCCCCCCCCCGCAAGACACUGGGGCGGCGAGAAGGGGAGACUAUGGAAGAGCCCCACCCUGGACCUCCUCAGCCUCCACAGAGUGCUGCUGAUGGGCAUGGGAAGCCUGGGGACACACACAGCCAAGCAAGGCGUCCCAGACUUGGCCCCACACUGUUCCCAAGCCAGGGGUCGGUGACUUCCAUCCCCAGCUGUACUAGGCACAAGAUGGCACUGUCACACCCAAGAGGGGCCCCAGAGACCCCUCCGGGGUUGUCGCCUUCCUGUGCUUCCUUAGUCAAGUACCACCCUGAAGCCACCACGGUAUGGUGGCACCUCCCGGUGUGGCCAGCCUCGAGGGCUGCUCUGUCCCGCAAACUCAGGAAACUUCCCAUCUGGAGCCCAGAUUCAAAUUCGAGUCCUGCUGUGUUUUCCUAGCUAUGGUUUCACAUCCCUGAGCCUCAGAGAAACGACUGAUGAUGAUGAUAAUAAUAAAAACAACCAGUGCCACCUGA